rnacentral:rRNA from 1 species
AUGGGACAAGUGGGCAACAAGGAAUCUGAUGGUUCUGAGAGUUGUUUUGAGCAAACAUCUGCACCUGACGGUGGUGUAGUAACACAUGCACCCAGUCAUUUGGAUGAUCCAUCUGAGCUAAGCAUUAUAGAACUUCAUAUAGUUCCAUGUAAUCUGUCCGCACGGUUUACUGAUAUAAUACAAGUUAGCGACAAAGCUCCCAUGGAACAAAGUGAAGAAGAGGAGUUAAGCAGCAAUACAGAAGUGGAGAGUAUUCAACAUGACAUCGAUAUAAAAGAAAUGAAGCAUCAUGAUUAUCCAAGUUCCUCUCAGCAAGCGAACUCUGACACGGGAGAAAAUCGGCCUUCCUUAGAGCUGCAAGGGAUGGGUGCUGCUCAGCAGAAUCCUAAUGAACUGGUGCCUGAGCCAGAAAGAUGCGAGCCCACGGUAAAGGAGGCUGCUGCAGAACACGCACAUGGCCGACAUGCGACAUGCAUGUACCGGAUGAAGGACUUCCCCAGACGAAGGCUUCAAUAG